rnacentral:lncRNA from 1 species
GGGAACAAACACUGAUGUCCACACCCUCUCUACAGCAGGUGGUAAUGCCUGUCAGCCCCACAAGACCUUGGCAGAGGCAGGGGCAGGCUCUUCCUUGGGCCUGAGCAAUGGGCUAGGGGCUCUGGCUAUAAUAAAAGGUACAGGGAGACGAGGCAGCAGAUGCCAGAGACCACAGGCUGGGCUGGAACCCACGGGUCUGCAAAGGGCUAAGAGGCUGAGUGAAGCGAGAGAACAGCUGGAGGCCUGACUGGGUCUCAGAAUCCAGGGCACCUCCAUGCCCAGGACCUCGGGUCCCCAAAGGCCUUGAGUACAGAAAGGACAAAAGAUAUCCCAGGGGCAGCUUCCAUACCUGAUGCCUGGCCCAGGACACCAGCCAACCUGUCAAGAAGCUACAAACUGCUCUGUGAACAGGACACACGCAGAACCAACUGCCUCUCAGUUGGAUGACCAAUCCUCAGAGGAACGUUCCAGCCUGAUCUCCAAGUUGCGCCCAUGUCCAGGACUCCGGGUUCGAUGCUUCAGCUCUGGAAUCCCCUUUGGGAUUCUGAAAUCCCAAGCUCUUUGCUAUUGGGUGGUGCGAACGCAGACUCCAGGAUUGUGAAUGUGGGCACAGGCCUGCACGAACUCUCCUCUGAGCCUGUGGUUUGUGCCUUCUGGCCUUGGCUCCCUCACGAAGAGGGUCAACACCCUUGGCCCCCAUCCAAGCUCUCCACUCACUGUCCAUCUGAAGAGGCAGCCAAAACCAAGUGAGAUUCUGGAACCGCAUUCAAAUGCAGGGAUAAUCUUGGGCAGGCUGGCUCUGAUGUGGACGAAAGCUGAGCCGACCAAGGGUCCCCACAGCUGCCCAGCUGGGCCCACCGCUCCUCCAGUAGACUUAGUUCAGCACCAGGGAAGAUGCGAGCCCCUCCACAGAGCCAGGCCCAGACUAACCAAGCAUGGGGCUACCCCUUCAGAGAAUGCUGAGCCAAGGUCCCCAUCCAGGGGCAGUGGGGUCGAGACUGCUUAUUGUUUUGAUGGACACUGUACCAAGGAGGAGAGUCCCUAGCUCCCCUAAGAUGAUCCUCCCGGAGUUCUGCAGGCUGUGACUAGGUGAAUCAGACCACAGGCUAAGAACCACUGUCGAGGCCAAAGGAAUCCACAGCCACAGGGGGGGAAAAAGGCUUCACUGGACUUGUCCAGCUCUAAACUCUCUCAGAUCUAAAGAACUGCAAAGACAGGACAAUUCACCACAUUUCGGUCACACGGGACCCAGGAACCUGGCCAGAAGGUUCAAGCCCUACCUGAACCACUCUCCACUGUUCUUGUCACAAGGCGAAAGUGGUAUUCCUUUCUUUGAGGCCAGGGCUGGAUAAAGGCAGCCCUGGGUGCUGCUAUUCUACUCUGCCGCCCCGCCCCACCCCACCCCACCCCACCCUCCAGUUUUUAUAUGAGGCUCCUUGGCAUUGUGACAUCCCCAUGGCAUAGUCUGAGAUGCACGAUAAAAUGGUUAUUUCUCUAGCU